CUUUUUUCACGUAAGAACAUACAAAUAUGGACUCGACUAGCUUACAGAUUCUGUAAGCUACAGACUGCAGAGCAUCAGCCGUUGGAUGUGGUUGGAUGUGGAGUGAGAGAUUAAACCAUAGAAAAUGGGACGGUGGGAUGACGGGAGAUGUUAGGUACAGAAUCUGUACCAUAGGCAGGUUACACACACAAUUCCUGUACGUUGCUUCUGAUUUGGUACCAGCUCCCCUCGAACCCGUGAUUGAUGACGUGCUGAACAUAUUGGCACCAAGCCAACAAGAUCACGCUGGGAGCUGGUGAUGAAUUGUAUCACAUUUACCUUUUGUUCCGUAAAAUUUUUUAUAUUUUGACUUGCAAAGUUUUGAAUUAAGAAUAAAUGAUGAAAUGAAACCAAUGCUUCUGACACUAAUUUUUCACAUAUUAUUUGAAAAAGAAUUAAAAUAAGACGUUGUAUUUAAAACAAGUCAUUUUUAAAUAAUAAUAUUAUACUUAUUCAAUUAGGGUAUAUUAUUUCGUAUUCUAAUUGAUGCAUCACUAAUAAAAUUUUACUAUUUGAAUUAAAUAAGAUAUGACUUAACUAUCAUUUAAAUGGGUCCAGCUAUGUUGCAACAGUGGUAUGGUAUUACAGUUGCAACCAGCCAUUGGAUGUAUAGUUGUACAGUUGUAUUAGCAAGAUCCAAUGGCUAAAAGCAACAGUGGUACCGUACCAUUAUUGCAACAUAGUUUUGCCCCAUUUAAAUAAAUCAAAUAGUGAUAUAUCAUUUCUUACAUUGACUAAAAUAUAAACUAAAUAUCUUAACUAAUCAUACAUAACAUUAUUAAUUUUUGAAUGCAUCAUUAAUUAAGUUGUAAAUGAUGAAGAUGGAUCAUAAUGGAGUUGAACUAAAUUUAGCUACCAACCUUCUCGAACCUAAGACCAAGUUAAACGGUUCUUGAAGCACCAUACCACCGAGUUAUGAGAAGUUUGGUCAAAACAACAGUGAACAACAGUUAAAGCAACAAGUGUUUGAUGGAAGUAUAAAAGCGUUUGAUGAAAUGCCUCAAUGAAGAGUCUCUUGGCGAGUAUUUGAAUUCAGGAACUAAAUAGUCACUAGCGAGCAUUCAAGAAGAUAGUCCCUGAUACUUGUAGAAGGAUGAAAUGUCUUAAGAUUUUAAGAAGAUCAAUGGUCAAGACUGGAAUCAAAGAAUUAAGGGGGUCUGAAUUGAACAGUGAAUAAAACAGAAGUGCAUAACGAACCUUAUUACCUUUGUAUUAUCAUUUACCCUUAAAUCUCAGCCCUAGGAUUAACAGCAAGGGAUGAAGUACGAAUUCAAUACAUGCAUUAUUCACCAGCUGUAAAUGUAGUACAAGGCCAUUGUAUAUAUAAAAUUGAGCAGUGGAAUAUCAAUAAUACAAGCUCGUUCUUUCAAAUUUCUGGCAAUAGGCAUAUAUUUCAGUAAAUUUUACACUAUACACAUUAUACAUUGGAAAAAAAUCCAUAGUGCUUUUAAAAAUAAAUAUUACCAAACGUUUAAUUGAUUCUCUUCGCAAUUGUAUAAUUAACAACAAUUAUUUUAAAAGUUAUAGUAUUAUCAAACUAACCCUAAGAUGAUUGUAUUUUUUUUUUUUUUGAAAAAAAUAUAAUUCCUUGUAAGAUCUCAAAUUUCUUCAAUCUCUAGUGAUGUGAUUAAAGUAUGAACUUAUAAAUACCCAUUGAAAUUCUCUAAUACAGGAAAACGAUGUUUGUAUCUUUUAAGUUUGUCAUAAUAUAAAGGUCACUACACUUUAUCAAUAGAUACAUAAAUUCUUUUUUCAAUUUGAAUCAUCAAGAUCAACUCCGAAUGUGUGGUUCCAUUAUUGCUUCUCUCAUGACGUUGAUCUCAUCAUUGCAUAUAUGACAAUCAAAAGGUAAAAAAAAAAAAAAAAAGAUUAUGACUGAAUGUUUGAUAUCCUUAAACAAAAGAAACUAGGUUUAUAUAUAAUAAGACGCUUAUACUUUUCAAAUCUCUUAUUAAUAAGAAAUCAAUAAAAAAUAAUAAUAACUUUUUUGCAUUUGUGAUAAAAAGAAGGUAUUUUGUAAUACCUUUUUUCAUGUAAGAACAUACAUAUAUAUAUAGGACUUGACUAGCUUACAGAAUCUGUACGUAAGCUACAGACUGCAGCAUCAGCCGUUGGAUGUGGAGUGAGAAACUAAACAAUAGAAGAUCGGAUGGUGGGAUGACGGGAGAUGUUUGUUACAGAAUCUGUAACAUAGACAGGUCCGUAGAUAUGUACACACACACACAAUUCCUGUACGUUGCUUCCGACUUGGUACCAGCUCCCCUCGAACCCGUGAUUGAUGACGUGCUGAACAUAUUGGCCCCAAGCCAACAAGAUCACACUGGGAGCUGGUGAUGAAUUGUAUCACAUUUACCUUUUGUUCCGCAAAAUUUUUUAUAUUUUGACUUACAAAGUUUUGAAUUAAGAAUAAAUGAUGAAAUGAAACCAAUGCUUCUGACACUAAUUUUUCACAUAUUAUUUGAAAAAUAAUUAAAAUAAGAUGUUGUAUUUAAAAUAAGUCAUUUUUAAAUAAGAUGCCACCUAUAUUGAGAUAUUAAAAAAAAAUUAUUUGGAUACUUGUAUUUUAACUUUAAAAAAAUUUAGAUCCUUUUAAAUUGCAAACCCACAAAGAAAAAAAUAAAUGCCACCUUAAUGUUACCAAUUAUUAUUAAUAUAAUAUCAUUUUUCCAAUAAUAUUUAGAUACAAAGAGCUCAAUUGGAAUUACAUUUAGAAGGCUCAAUUUUUUUUUUAAAAAUCACUUUUGGCAAAUCACCCUAUCCUAUAACAUGUUUUGAAAAAGUAGGAAAUGAGAUUAUUUUCAAAAAUCUGAUUUUUAAAUUAGGUUUAUACUUAAUAAAAUUUAUAUACACACACUUAUGAUAAAAAUAUAAAAUUAUCCUUAUCAAUUAGGAAAUAUCAUUAAAAUUGAAGAGAUUAUUAUUAUUGACAAUUGCAUUGAGAUGACAAGAUAAAAAUCAAAAUCAUAAGAAAAUAUUUAUUUUAGUUAUCAAUUCUUAUAUACACAAUAAAAAAUAUUUUACAUACGUGUUUAUAAAUCGAUAAAUAAAAUUUAUUUGAUAUCAAGUCUAUUUCAGUUAUUUAUAUUUUACAGCAGUUUAAUAGUAAGAUUUACUAAACAUAUAUAAUUACUUUCAAAACCCAUAGUGCUUUUAAAAAUAAAUAUUACCAAACGUUUAAUUGAUUCUCUUUACAAUUGCAUAAUUAACAACCAUUAUUUUAAAAGUUAUAGUAUUAUCAAACUGGCCCUAAGAUGAUUGUUUUUUUUUUUAAAAAAAAAAUAUAAUUCAUUGUAAGAUCUCAAAUUUCUUCAAUCUCUAGUAAUGUGAUUAAAGUAUGAACUUAUAAAUACCCACUGAAAUUCUCUAAUACAAGAAAAAUGAUAUUUGUAUCUUCUAAGUUUGUCAUAAUAUAAAGGUCAUUACACUUCAUGAAUAGAUACAUAAAUUCCUUUUUCAACUUGAAUCAUCAAGAUCAACUCCAUAUGUGAUUCCAUUAUUGCUUUUCUCAUGACGUAGAUCUCGUCAUUGCAUAUAUGACAAGCAAAAGGAAAAAAAAGAAAACAAGAUUAUGACUGAAUGUUUGAUAUCCUUAAACAAAAAAAACUAGGUUUAUAUAUAAUAAGACGUUUAUACUUUUCAAAUCUCUUAUUAAUAAGAAAUCAAUAAAAAUAAUAAUAACUUUUUUGCAUUUGUGAUAAAAAGAAGGUAUUUUGUAAUACCUUUUUUCAUGUAAGCUACGGACUGCAGCAUCAGCCGUUGGAUGUGGAGUGAGAAACUAAACAAUAGAAGAUCGGAUGGUGGGAUGACGGGAGAUGUUUGUUACAGAAUCUGUACCAUAGACAGGUCCAUAUAUACACACACACACAAUUCCCGUACGUUGCUUCCGACUUGGUACCAGCUCCCCUCGAACCCGUGAUUGAUGACGUGCUGAACACAUUCGCACCAAACCAACAAGUUCAUCCUGGGAGCCGGUAGUGAAUUGUAUCACAUUUACCUUUUAUUCCAUAAGAUUUUUUAUAUUUUGACUUUGCCAAAUUUUGAAUUAAGAAUAAAUGAUGAAAUGAAACCAAUGCUUCUGACACUAAUUUUUCCCAUAUUAUUUGAAAAAGAAUUAAAAUAAGACGUUGUAUUUAAAAUAAGUCAUUUUUAAAUAGUAAUAUUAUACUUAUUCAAUUAGGUUAUAUUAAUUCGUAUUCUAAUUAAUGUACCGCUAAUACAAUUUUACCAUUUGAAUUAAAUAUGAUAUGACUUAACUAUCAUUUAAAUCAAUCAAAUAGUAACAUAUCAUUUGUUGAAUUGACUAAAAUAUAAACUAAAUAUCCUAACUAAGCAUACAUAACAUUAUUAAUUUUUGAACGCAUCAUUAAUUAAGUUGUAAAUGAUGAAGAUGGAUCAUAAUGGAGUUGAACUAAAUUUAGCUGCCAACCUUCUCGAACCUAAGACCAAGUUAAACGGUUCUUGAAAGCACUAUACCACGGAGUUAUAAGAAGUUUGGUCCAAACAACAGUGAACAAACCAUUUUUUUUCCUUUUUUUAUAGUUAAAGCAACAAGUGUUUGAUAGAAGUAUAAAACCGUUUGAUGAAAUGCCUCAACGGAGAGUCUCUUGGCGAGUAAUUGAAUUCAGGAACUAAACAAGAUAGUCCCUGAUACUUGUAGAAGGAUGAAAUGUCUUAAGAUUUUAAGAAGAUCAAUGGUCAAGACUGUAGUCAACCUUAUUACCUUUGUAUCAUCAUUUACCCUUAAAUCUCAGCCCUAGGAUCAACAGCAAGGGAUGACGUACGAAUUCAAUAGAUGCAGUAGUCACCAGCUGUAAAUGUAGUACAAGGCCAUUGUAUAUAUAAAAACUGAGCAGUGAAACAUCAAUAAUACAAGCUCGUUCUUUCAAAUUUCUGGCAAUAGGCAUAUAUCUUCAGUAAAUUUUGCACUACACACAUUAUACAUAGAAAAAAGAAAAAAAGAAACAAAAUGCAUCUUAAAGCCUCUGAUUAGGUUCUUGUUCCACCAACCCGUUUCCUGGGGUCAAUGGCUUGACUAGAAUUCUCAGAAGUCAUAUCAUUUCUCAUCCACUUGACCAAACUCAUCAUCAUGUCCUCAUUAAGCUGUAUAAAUCACACUUGUAAGCAUCCCCCCUUUGGUAACGCUCCACUACUCCAGGUCUAUGUAUUCCACAGUUCCGGCAACAUUCAUGGUUUUGAUAUGCGUAUGAGCAUCAGGGCAUUGCCUCUACCAGCCCAAAAUCCGUGAUCCUAGCAUCAAUAUCAUCAUCAGGAUCACAUUUGCUUGCUUGAGAUCACGGUGGGUAAUACGUGGGCUAUGCCCAGAUGAAACCGGCAGCUACUCAUUUCGCGAUCUUGUGCCUAGCCCAUCAAGGACUCUAAUUGUCUUUCAAUUCUGUUGCGAGGCAAUCAGUUAAACUGACUUACAAAAUUUCCAUUGCGCUCAGGCUGAGCCAGUGAGCCUAUAAAAAUAAAUAAAGAAAUGAAAUGAAAUAAAUAAAGGAUUUGGGUUAUUGUUACAUUUAUUAAUGUCCUUGGCAUGUGCAAAUGCCACUAUAUGCUCUCAUAUUUGUGACAGUAAUUAAUAUUCUUUCACAUAAUGCAAACCAACUGGAAAUUUCUAAUAUUACAGGGCAUCAUCAACAUUAGCAGAAGCUGCUAAAGCAAAGACUCCUAAAUUAAGCUGCGAUGAUGAAGAGCCAUGUAACAAAAACUGAUCCAUAUUGUUUGAUUACAUAACCUUUGCACAUAAUAUGCAAUUCCAAAGCAAUUUAACCACUCCUUGCAAAUAAAUGAAUAUGUUAAUCUUGUUCAAUUUUCUGUAAAUUAACUAAAGCAAGAAAUUAAGAUGACUUACUAAGCAAAAAGCAGGGCCUUCCAAGAUCGGCCGCCAGUGGAGUUCACUGAAAAGUGCGACUGAUAUAUACAGCUUAGUUAAAUUAACAGAGGAGAUAUGAGGUCGGUUCAGGGGAUGAGAAAUGUUAUGACCUCUGAGAAUUCCCUAGUCAAGCCACUGACCUAAGGAAACGGAAUUGAAGAACAAGAAUCGAAUCAAUAAUAAACUGAGAGGCUUUAAAACUACAUUUUGUUUCUUUUCUUUUUCUUUUUUUCCCUCCUAGCUAGAUAUAUAUAUCUUGAAAUAUUGGUGAAAAUGUAAAAUUUUCAUCAAGAAAGUUGGUGAAAUAUUGGAGAAAGUGAGAGAUAUUGAAUUUUUGAGUUGGAAAAAGAGAAAUAUCAACUUGCCGUGUGUUGCCUAAAGAAGAACGAAACUGAUACCGAGAGCCAAUCCUAGCGGAUGUAUAUAUAGGAAAAUGGUAUGAACUCAUCAAAUGCUGCAUUUUGAAAAUUUUGCUUUUACAUGUUCGAAAUUUUAAACACCACCCCUUUUCUGGGUAAAUGCAUUGUCGCUCAGUGUUUGUUGUUUACUUGAUUUUCGGUAAACGAAUAAAGGAUGAAUUGAAGGGAUGAUCAACAGCAUUAUGGUGCUUAGUUUCCUGUAAUGCUUUAUUCUGGCAAUGAAUUGAUGAUAGAGAAUUUCUCAUUAACAGCAAGUAGACGAUGACUUUGUUUAUGAACUAAAAAGUGACGUGGCGGUUUAGAAAAUGAUUAAUUUCCUGCAAUGCUUAUUCUGGCAAUGAAUUGAUGAUAGAGAAUUUCUCAUCAACAACAAGUUGAUGAUGACUUUGUUUAUGAACCAAAAGUUUUGAAUUAAAAAAAAAAAUUAACUCUAUAAUUAAUAAAGAGUGAGAGGUAUUUUUAGAAUGAGUACCUCUAUUCAAACCAAAGGGUGCCGUUUGGUUCAAAGUUUCUCGAAGUCCGACCCUGAUGAUAUGGUAAACAAGCAAAGCACCAUAGCAGCACGACCAGCGAGCUAAGAUUAUUGUAUUUUUUAAUUCAUAAUUUCCCAAUAUAAUUCAAAUUCUAAGAUUAUUGUAUUUUUUACUAUAAUAUAAUUCCUCAUAAUAUCUUAAAUUUCUUCGAUCUCAACUGAUAUGAUUAAAGCAUAACCUUAAAAAAAAUAAAAAUAAACCUUUUUAAUUCUAAAUUGGGAAAAGGUAUCUGCAACCCUCAAAAUUUCUCUUAAUAUACAAGUUACUGAUGCAUUUAACGUUUUAUGAACUGAUGCAUGGACUCCUUUUCAACUUAGAUCAUCAAGAUCAUCACUGUAUGUGUGACUCUAUUGUUACUGUUUCAUGACAUAAAUCUCAUUAUUACAUAUAUCUCAAAAAGAUAAAUCUAAGUGUACAUUCUAGAUCCUUAAACAGACCAAAAAAUUAAUUUUUUUUUUUUUUUUUUCAUUUUUCAUUUAACGUUUUAUGAACUGAUGCAUGGACUCCUUUUCAACUUAGAUCAUCAAGAUCAUCACUGUAUGUGUGACUCUAUUGUUACUGUUUCAUGACAUAAAUCUCAUUAUUACAUAUAUCUCAAAAAGAUAAAUCUAAGUGUACAUUCUAGAUCCUUAAACAGACCAAAAAAUUAAUUUUUUUUUUUUUUUUUGCAUUUUUUAUAAAAGGAGAGGUAUUUUGUAAUACCUUAUUUGAUGGCAAGAAUAUAUACAUCCUGUUCGCUGAUACCAGCUCUCCUCGAACUCAUGAUUGGUGACAUGAUGAACAUGUAGGCACCAUACCAACAAGAUCUUGAAGAGAGCCGGUGACGACUCGUCUCUUAUUUUAUCCUUGUUCUGUAAAAUUUAUUAGUUUAUUUUUUCGUAACUUGAAAAGGCCACUCGCACCCAUCUUUCUUCAUCACGUGUUUAAUAAUGACACAAAAUGAGAAUUUAAUCCAAGUAUUUUACACGUGUUGCACUUCAAAUUUAUUUCAAUUUUAAAUUAUAUCAAAUAGAAUUAUCAUUUUAUCCUUAAAAACUUAGAUUUACGAUAACAAAAUUAACUGAGAAUUUAUCUCAAGUUUUAGAGACUAAUUUAAAAGAGUAUUAUUACCUUCUCUUCACAUAUAAAUGAAGCGAAAAGAAAAUGACAUGAUGUGCAAUAUAAUAUAUUUUGACUUUGGUGGGAGAUUUUAGCCAAGAAGAAAUGAUGAAAUUGUGAUCUGUUUUCUCAUAUAUUAUUUGAAAAUGAAUAAAGGAACCUUUGUGAUAAAAAAGAAGGUAUUUUCGAAUACCUCACUUAAGUUAGAAUGUUGGAAAUGAGGAUGAUGAUGAUGGGAUCAUAUUGGAGUUGGACUGAAUUUAGCUACCAAUCUUCUCGAACCUAAGACCAAGUUGUAAGGUGCUCCAAGCACCAUACCACCGUGUUCAUAAGAAGAUUGGUGAUACUGACAUACAUUUUUUUCAUUUCCCUUUUAUGCACAACUUAAGUUAGUGGAACUAAAAAUAAACUUGACAAUUUUUUUUUUUUUUUAAGCUUUCUACAACAUUAAAUAAAAUAAUAAUACAUGCGUACUUUUAUAUAUAACAUAUACAGUAUACUCGAUGGAUAUUGAACGCCGGCGACAUCUGGAGGAUCAUCACCACCCGUGGCUAGUGAAGCCAUAGGUGAUUUUUAGUGCUUCAAACUUCAAAAUUACGAAUUUACCGUUGUCGGUCAAAGAUGGCCGGUAGUUAAGCUCGGACGUUAGCUCUUCAGGCCACGUUUAUUCCGAUGAUGAUGGCGGUGUGCUUUCACGCGCAGCUGUGGCGUCGGAUCAAAGCUCAUGAGCCCGUGAGUCUCCAACAGCUGAUUGGCAGCGGGAAUUGCCAAUUUGGUGCCUAAGGUUGACUGAAAAUGAAGAGAGAAGCUUGAAGAACCAAACCCAGGUGGUGAAUGGCCGGAAAUUAGCGAAAUCAGGCGAAAAAGAUGCGGCUUUUGCCGCGGUUUCGCAAGCUCGAUCCGCGGUCUUCCAGUUGUUUUGCGGCGGCGUUUGCGGCAGGGGAACGACCGGCGUAGCUCUAGCUUCCGAUUGGUACGUCACUUGGUCGAUGAGGUGGCCGGAGAUGUGAGGUCCGUCCGGGUCGGGGUUACCGGGUCGGGUCUAUCACGGGUUUUGCCUAGAGGAAAUCUAUUACGGGUAUUCCCAUAGCACCAUCGAUUGAAAAGGUAUACAUUAAUAUUAAUAAACAAAAAUUGUUAUCCCAACAUUUGAAAUGUAUAACAGUUGAUGCUAAAAAUUACUAAAAUAAAAAGAUAAUACUUAUAUUAUAAAAAGAAAUUCUAAAAUAAAGAAAUGCAUAUUUGUUGAAAACCUAAACAAUGGUUAAAAUCUGAUAGUUCUUGUAACAAAAUACAAAUUUUAUUAUAAGUUUUGAAAUGAUAUAUUAUAUAUAUAAAAAAAAGGAUAAAUCAUUUGUCUAAUGGAACGACAAUUUCACUCUACGUAAUAAGAAAGAGAUUCCUAUAGUAGACAUAUUUGUGGUGUAUUAUUGACAAAACAAAAGGUAUUUUAGAAUACCUCAUUGAAGAGUAUCAAGGAACUUGUUAUAUUUUCAAAGGGGUGUUCCAAAAGCUACCAAUUUUCUCGAACCAAGGCCAAGCGGAAUGAUGAUUGAUGCCUCGAACAUCACACCGCCCGAUCCCGGCGAAUGCUGGUGAUUCGCGUGCGCGGCAUUUUUUAUUUAUUAUUUUCUCUUGAACGCACUCAAUGAAAAAUUAAACUCUCUCUAUCAAAUGAUGUAACGAUGCCAAGUAAAUUUAUGAUGAUAGGUGAAUUAAUAAGUUGUGAUACAAAAUUUAACAAAUGAGGGGUUUAUAUAGUAAAAUGUUUCUCGAGAAUAAUUUGGAAUGUAAUUUAUUUCGCAAAUAUAGCAUUCUGAAAUGUUAAGACUUUGGUAUUGAUCUUGUACCAUCUAAUUCUGAGAAAGAUAAUUUAUUAAUAUUUUUUCAAAUAUAGUGGCAUAAUUUAACUAAAGCAGAUUCUUAUUUUUAUUUUUGAAAAGGUAAGGUAUUUUGGAAUACCUUGUUUAAGGUGGAAAGGAGUAUUUUGAGAGGAAUUAUUUUGAAGGGUGCUCAAAAGCCAUACCAGUUCUCUCGAACACGCGACUAGGCGAGGUGGUUCCAUAAGCACCAGACCACCGAGUCACUGGAAAGAUUGGUGGCGACCAUGAUCAUUUUAUAUUUUUUUAUAACUAGCAACUGCGUACUUUGUAGAUCUCUAAAUAAUAAUUUUAUAAAUUAAGCAACUAUUUAUUUUUUUGAGUUAAUAACUUAAUUGACUUAAUCAAGUAAUUAAGCCAAUCUUUUUAAAAUUUUGCUUGAUCUAGAAAGUCUAAAUGAUGUCAUUUAAAAUAUUCUCCAAACUAUCCCUAUCUAAUUAAUUAACUUUCAUUCUUACCUAAAUGAAAUUUAAUAAUUAGCAUUAUAAUCUAUCUCUAUAAUAUGUGAUAAUAUAAUGGUAGAUUAUUAUUAUUUUUAUCCUUUAAUUUCCUUCAAAUUAGCAUUAUUUGUCCUCAUAAAAUUUUUAUGAAUAUUUUUAUAUAAAAACACCAUAAAUUAUAAUAAAAUUUAUUUAAUAUAUACUAAUUUAGAGUAUUAAAAGGUUGUAUUCAAUUGAACAUAAUUAAUGUUAUGAUAAUAUAUUAUCUUAUUUAUAUUCUUUGAGGUGUUUAUUAUUUGUUUAACACUUAUAAUUUAUAAGGAAUAAAUGUAAAAAUACUUGUUUUUAGAUUUUUAAGUUAACAAAUAAUUUAAUAUCUAUUUUUAGCGAUUCAAAUAAAAAUAAAUAAAUACAUCAUUCAGAUUCAAACAUUCAACUCUAUUCAGAAUAUAGAGUAAAAGACUUUUUUUUUUUUGGGUCUGAAGUCUGCAUUUUAGUUAUUUUCAGACAUUUUAUAGUUUUUAAUUUAUUUGUUAUCUAGCAUUUAUAUCAGAUUAUAGAUGUUUAUGUCUGAAUAGAAAAGGUUAAAUAUUUGACCUUUAUCUGAAUGGCAAACAUCUAAAUGGAACUUUAUUAUUCUCUAUCACUAAUGUCCCUAUUAAAUAAAUUUAUUUCUUGUUAUAUAUAAAUUAUUCUUUUAUUAUUUUUUAUUUAUACCUUUCUUUUUGUUAUAUGUGUUUCCAACCAUUGUUAUUAUUUUUUUGAAUGAGAAUUUUGAACAUAAUAGAAGUUUAGGUGAGUGUAUUUUAAAAUAGGUUCAUCUCUUUGUGUUAUAUUUACUAUAUUUAUAAUAGAUUUUGAAUUUUAUUUAAUACAUUUAUUUUAAUUCAAAUAACUAAACAAUUAUUGAUUGUUAAUAUCAAUAUAAUGUGCUAAAAGUAACAUCAUAAGUAUGACAUACUAAUGUAAAAAAAAAUUUGUUAGAUAUAUAUAUAUAUUUCAAGUUUUGUUAAGGUAAACAUUAUGAAUUUUUUUUAUAAUCAAAUAAAUUAUUUAUAACUUGUCAUGUAUUUAACCAAUAAAUAUAAGUAUUUUUAAUAUUUAUGAGGUUAUAUAUGUCAAAAUAUCAUAUAUCACAUGUUUGCUUUUUGGAAAACAAAUAACUUAACACUUAUAUUUAGAUAUUGAAAAAAAAAACAAACAAACAUGUCAUUUGAAUAUAUGUAUUCAAGCCUAUUCAGACCUUAGCCAAAUUCAAAACCAUUCAGAUUUUAAAUGCGAAAACAAAUGCUACUCAAUUAAGGUCUAUUCAAAUUUCAAAUAAAAAAAACAAACGCCAUCUAAGUCUACUAGUAAACUCUGAAUUUUAUUGCUAUGGAUCAAAUAGUUUUUUUCUAUAAUGAUAACAAUUUUUUUUUUUUAACAAAAAAAAAGCAUUCAUUGAUACUUGUAAGGCCCUAAAUUCACUUGGAUUACCCUUUCCCCUCCCCCCAAAGAAACAAAAAAGGAAAAAAAAAAAAAAAGGCAAACAAAAGGAAAAAAAAGCAAACUCAUUUUUUCAACAUCAUUUAUCAUUAUUUUCUAAUUUCUUAAGACCAAUGUAUUGAAUUUGCACACCUCUUAAUACAAUUCAUUAUAAUCCAUACUCUUUUAAUACAGUUCAAUUCAAUAUAGCAUGAUCCACCAAAUACACCAUUAAUAUAUGUCUUAAGACCAGUGUGGUGGUCAUACUUUCCCUGUUUUUGCCGAAGGAAAGAAAAUAAAGCUUUUAUAGUAAAAAGAAGGUAUGUUAGAAAUUCGAAUACCUCAAUUAAUUAAUGUAAAGGGGUUUUGAUCAGCAUAGAUAAUAGAUAGGUACCAAUCCUCUCUAACCUAAGGCCAAGUGAAAUGGAACAAAUAAAGCCCCAUCCCACACAGUCCAUAAAAAAAGAGUGGUAUUGUACAAUUAAAUUUUAUUCCUUUGUGUUAUAAUUUUUGUAAAUCUAUAGAACACAGAGAAAAAAGAUUCAUUAAAUUCAAAUUUCUCAAGAAAGUUUGGUGAAAUGAAGAACAGAGAGAUUUUGAAUUGGAGUAGUUUGAGUUGGAUGAAGAGAAUUAUAUAACUUGCAGUGUGUUGAGCGAAGAAGAAGAAACUGAUACUGAGAGACCAUGAAAGCAGAGUUUUUGUAUAAGAAAAAGAUAUGAACCUGCCAUAUGCUGCUGCUCUUCUCAAAAACUAAAACCAGGCUAAAUGAAGUUCUGUAUGAUACAAAAAGAAUGGGAAAGGGAAAAUUAUUAAAAAAGAGCUUUAGUUUUUAACAAAUGUGAUUCAAAGAAGAAUGGCCAUACCAAAACUUCAGGACAAGCAAUGCCCAUGUGUGCAUCAGCCAGAGAAGGACUGAGGUAAGUUCAUUAUGUAAUAUGCAUGGCCUCAAUUCGUUUUUGGUUUAUAUAGAAGCCCAUGACCUCACUUAUUAGCUGAUGUGGAAUAACGUGCCUAACAUCCCCUAUUAUACAUGUACAAAAUCAAUCGCUUUAUCAUGUUUUUGUCACGUGGUCAUUAAGGUAGUGUAGUUGACUCAUAUACCAUAUAUAUAAAAGUUCGCAAGCCUAAUUCGUAUUAAAAAACUAGCUCAAUAAUGAAAAUUGUCUUAGAUUUUAUAUAUUUAAUCUAAAUUUCAUUUUCAAGUGAUAUAAGAUAAUAUCUCUAACAGUUCACACUUUAAUAUUAGGAAAAAAAAAGCUUUGAAAUUGAAAUAAAAAGUCUUAAGAAAAGAAAAAGGCAAUAAAUAUAGAGAAAUUAAUUAAGGGGCCACAUUAGGCUGAAACUAGAAGUAAUGAGUAAUAUUAUUAUUUCAGUUUAGUAAACUAAGUUGCUACAUUAGCGUUUCUCUACUCCUAGCCGAUUUUUGAAACUUUCCCAGAUAUUGUACUUUGUUUAGCUGGGCUGAAACUAAAGUAAUUUGUGAAAAGGUUCUUGUGGAGAAGAAAUUAAAGCCACCAAUAUCAAGUUGGAUGUUUAUUUUUUUUUUUGCUCAGAGUUUGUUGCAUACUUGUUUUUCCGUAAAAGAAUAAAAGAUUAAUCGAAGACAUGAGCAACAGCAUUACGAUGCUUUGUUUUCUGUAAUGCUUAUUCUGGCAAUGAAUUGAUGAUAGAGAAUGUCUGAUUAACAACAAGUUGAUGAUGAUUUUGUUUUGGAAAAGAUGCUUUGGUAUUUUGAAAUAAUGAACAAAAAAAGAAAAAAAAAAAAGGAUGUGAUAGUGUGGGAAAUAAUCUCAAUGAAAAAUUGUUUUCAUUUGUUACUUUUCCUUAAGUUUUUGUUUUGGAAAAGAUAUUCCUUAAUUUUUUGUUUUGGAAAAGAUGCUUGGUAUUUGAAAUCAUUAACAAAAAAAGAAAAAAAAAAAAGGAUGUGGUAGCAGGGGCGGAUGCAGCUCAAGCCCCCACUGGCCAAAAAAAAUUUAAAAAUAAAAGAAAAAAAUAUUUUAAUUUUUUAAUUAACCCCAUUAAAUUUAUUAAAAUAAUCACUAUAAAUUAUAAACUUCGUAAAAUUUAAACAUUAACUUUUAAGAAUUAUAAAAAUCUAUAUCUUAAUUAAAAAUAAUGAUAGUCCACCACUCAAAAUAUUUUCUAUUAUCAAAAAUAGGAUUAAUUCUUCAAGUUUCUAUAAUAAUAGUAAAGCGAAUGUUUUCAGUAAUGAAACUCAUGAUGAAUCAUCUUUGGAAUCGGAUAUGAUAAAUGAUAGUUUGGUUGCUUAUAUAGGAAACAGUAAAUUUAAUAAUAUUGAUAAUAAGUCUAUUGUAUAACAUUUUUAAAAUAUGAAAAUGCAUAGAGAAUAAUUAUAAACGUAUUAGUAAAUAUUUUAUAUAUUCAAAAUUUUAGUUUUUUAUAUUUUACUAUUAUCUAAUUUAGUCCCCGUAAAUUAUUUUUCUAAAUCCGCUACUGUGUGGUAGUGCUGGAAAUAAUCUCAAUGAAAAUUUGUUACUUUUCCUUAAUUUUUUUACAAAAGAGAGGUAUCUUAGAAUACCUCUAUUUUAAAGCAAAUACAUAUACUUGGAUUUUGUUUUGAUUGCUGUUGUAGCUGCUGGUACCAACGCUUCUCGAAGACAGAUCUUAAUGACAUCGAGAACAAGCAAGCUCCACGCCAUCAAGACUAUAUCGAGAGUUGGUUAUAGGUUAUGUCUAAUUUUUUAUUUAUUCUUAAAAAAUAUUAUAUUUGUUUUUCCAUUAAUUCAAAUACAUCGUAUAUAUGGUUUGAUUAAGUAAUAUUAUAUAUAGAGAGAGAUAGAAAUAGUCCUCCUCUAGUGCGGGGCUCUUUUUUUUUUUAUACGGACACACUUUUAAGUUAUGCGAUUUAAUAAAGUUUAUUAAACCGUACAAUAUUAUAUGUAUUCGAAAUUAACUCUAUUAAACUGUGCGCCUUAACAACGUGUACACAUUAAAAAAAAAUCAAUGUGCCCGCACCUGAGGAUGAUUAUAUUUAUAUAUAUAUAUAUAGACACACAUACAAGUUGUUGAAAUAAAUUUGAGAUUUAUGCCCUUAAUCUUGCAUUUCCAAGUAAACGCAUACAUUAGGCAAAAGUUUGAAAUUUACCUUGAUUGGCUAUGAAUUCAAAGCUUAUUGUUUAGCUUGCUUCUUGCUCGUGAAUCCAGUUUGGUUCUUCUAAUUUGCAGCAAUUUCAGCUUCAAUUUCAGUUGCAAAAUCAAGCUCCUCACUGCACGUGCGUGCACACACACACACACACACUCAAUCGACAAAGAAAGAGAGAGGGGGAGAGAGAGAGGCGCACUGUACUCAUAUCCCAAACUUUUUGAACAGUAAACUCUCAAUGAGCUGAAGUCAUUUAAAUAAUGUGGCUGAGUGUAGAAACUGCUCAUGUGUUAGUGCAAAAUUGUUCAUCUCAUUAUGAGCUAAAAUAACACAACUAAGGAUUAUAUUUGUCCAUAAUAUACUACUAUAUAUGGUAUGACAAAAUUAGACUCAUUAACAUAAUAUUUGAUCACUUAAUAAAUUAGUCUGUCAAAAUUGCUCCAUAAUAUUUGACAUUAGUCAUGCAUUAAUCCGGUAAAACAUGAAAAACAAUAUAGAAUGAUUUAUGCUAGUCCACAAUAUGUGAGAAAUAAAUCCAACAAUCUCCUACUUGGAUGGCAGAAGUUAUUAUAAUGAUAAUUGUUUUAAAUAAAUAUUUUUGAAAUAAAACAAAAUUAAUCAACAUGUGACUAUAACAGAAAGCCAAAAUGUGAGCUAUCAUCCAAAACAUAAAUAAUUCCAAAAUGGGCCAUAAGUACCAAGUCAUAUGUGCACCGACAAGAUGCUCCACAUAAUGAGACACUUAUAAACACGUGACCAUUGUAGUAAUAUACAAUUAUAAUUAUGAAAUAGCAUGACAAUGUGAUCAACAUGCCCAUUUCCACAAAGUCCACAUGUCUAGCUAAAUGAUAUUAAAACAAAAUGUCACCUAGACCAUCGCUUCUUUAUAACCAUAAUGAGACUGAAUCAAAAUAUCUCAAGAAGCGAGCUUCCUUUUCAUCAUAAUGAGACUAAUACCAAAAUGUUUCAAUGAAGCUAUACUUUUUUAUAACCAUAAUGAGACUAAAUCAAAAUGUCUCAGGAAAGCACACUGAAGCCAAGCCAAAAUGUUUCAGUCCAUAACAUCUAUAUUAAGACUAAACAAAAUGUUUCGAAUCAUAAUAUCCUCACGGUAUACAUAAUGUCAUAUUUAAUCAAAUGUGUACACAAUAUAUGGCAUAUCAAUAUCACAUAACAAUAUGCAUGCAUAAUAACAAAAAUAUGAGUAAUAUAUAAUCUCAUUUAAGUUGCAACUUGUAAUACAAACCAGAACUCCCACUGACUCAGCAUAUAUAAUAGGAUUCUAACAAUCUCAUAUGAGUUACAUGCUCCUUAAAUACUUUUGGAGUAAGCUUUAGUAAGUGGAUUAGCUAACAUGAGUUUUGUAGGCAUGUAAUCUACUGAUACAUAAGAUAGAGUAAUUUUCUCUCUCACAAAAAAGUAUUUAACAUCAAUAUGCUUGGAGCGUGAAGAACUCCCUGUAUUGUAAGAGAAAGAAAUAGUUACAAAAUUAUCAUAGUAUAUUUUUAAUGGUCUCGGUACAACUAACAAAAAAUUUAACCAUAAGAUAAAAUUCUGCAUCCAUAAAGCUGGACGAGUAGCCUCAAAACAUGCUAUAUAUUCUGCCUUCAUUGUUGAAGAAGCUAUAAGUGUUUGCUUGACACUUUUUCAUGAAAUAGCUCUUCAUGCCACCAUAAAGAUGUAACCAAAUGUGGAUUUCUUGUCUUCGUAACACCUUACGAAAUCAGCAUCAGAAACCCAGUUAUAUUCAAAUAGUCAAAUUGUUGAUAUGUCAAUGCAAAAUCUUUAAUGGCUUGUAAAUAUCUUGUUGAUGCGAGAUUCUGGUUUUCUACUCGUCCUCGACCAGGAUCUCUCAUCAACUAGUUCUACCACGACCAGGAUCCCUCCUUGCAAGACCUCUUCUCCACAUAUUCCUACGUACACAGAAACAAGUCAAAGCACACUGGGUGUUUUCUUGGCGUAAACCCUCCGACGCUCAAUACAGUAUAAUGCUUUUCACGGCAGCACUCUGGGCGAGCUGGUGGGGGCUAUGCAGUAUAAUGCUUUUCACCUCGGCUGCAUGACCACUUACUAUAAGGCGAAGGUCGGCCGCUAUGACCGAAAGAUGAGAGAGGACGUUCAAUCGGCCAAAACCAAAGUUGACGCUGUCGAGAAGAAAGUAGGAGAUCUGAACCUCGAGAACCUGAAGUUGAUAGAGCGGGAGUCUCUCGCGUAGGCCAAGACAAUCACUCUCGAGGAGGAGCUGACUAGGGUCAAGGAGGACCUGCAGAGACAAAAGGCUGCCUACGAGGCUCAGCUCGAAUCUCUCAAAGAUUCUCACCAGGUUCAGGUUGAGAACCUAGAUAAGAAAGCUGAUAACCAAUAUGACCAGGGGCUUCAGCAUUCUUAUUGCUGCAUCAUGGCCGUCCUUGGGAGGCAGCAUCCUGAUCUGAAGAUGAACGAGCUUGCUGCUGGUGUUGCCCAAUAUAUGGAGGAUGAGGCAACCAAAGAAGAUGUUGAAGAGUUGGAGCCAAAUGCCACCGAGGAGGGAAUCUCUCCUCCUCGUGCAGUUCUUGCUGAUGUUGCCGAGGCAAGUACCCCCCCUGGAGCAACUGGUGAAACCCCCCCUGCUCCUGAAGUGGAGCAGCCAGUAGAGGCAACCCAGCUUACUGACCCGCCGUCCUCUUAAGCGUGUCUUUUUUUUUUUUUCGAACAUUGUAUGUUAGGAUUAACAGCUUUGCAAACUAUUGGCAGAUUAAUAAGAAUGUUCUUACUUGUUUUCUCAUAUUGUAAUUGCAAAUUUUACAACGCUUGGGAGCCUGUUCGCUUUUUCUUGGUCGAGUCGAUUCUGGUACGCUUGGCUUUUGUUCUCGCCAUAAAACAAGCUUUGAGACUUAGCCUUUGUAUGCCUCAGAAAUUUUACAACGCUUAGGAGUCUGCUCGCCUUCGCUUGGUCGAGCAGAUCCUGGUACGCUUGACUUCUGGUCUCGCCACAAAACAGGCUUUGAGAAUUAGCCUUUGCAUGCCUUUGAAAUUUUACAACACUUGGUAGUCUGCUCGCCUUCGUUUGGUCGAGCAGAUCCUGGCACACUUGGCUUCUGGUCUCGCCAUAAAACAAGCUUUGAGACUUAGCCUUUGUAUGCCUCAGAAAUUUUACAACGCUUAGGAGUCUGCUCGCCUUCGCUUGGUCGAGCAGAUCCUGGUACGCUUGGCUUCUGGUCUCGCCAUAAAACAGGCUUUGAGACUUAACAUUUGCAUGCCUUUGAAAUUUUACAACGCUUGGGAGUCUGCUCGCCUUCGCUUGGUCGAGCAGAUCCUGGCACGCUUGGCUUCUGGUCUCGCCAUAAAACAUGCUUUGAGACUUAGCCUUUCCAUGCCUUAGAAAUUUUACAACGCUUGGGAGUCUGCUCGCCUUCGCUUGGUCGAGCAGAUCCUGGCACGCUUGGCUUCUGGUCUCGCCAUAAAACAUGCUUUGAGACUUAGCCUUUCCAUGCCUUAGAAAUUUUACAACGCUUGGGAGUCUGCUCGCCUUCGCUUGGUCGAGCAGAUCCUGGCACGCUUGGCUUCUGGUCUCGCCAUAAAACAUGCUUUGAGACUUAGCAUUUGCAUGCCUUUGAAAUUUUACAACGCUUGGGAGUCUGCUCGCCUUCGCUUGGUCGAGCAGAUCCUGGCACGCUUGGCUUCUGGUCUCGCCAUAAAACAUGCUUUGAGACUUAGCCUUUGCAUGCCUUAGAAAUUUUUACAACAUUAUAGCUAACUGAAAUUCCUCAUCGAUUCAUUAAUUGCUGAAUUCGGCUUACACGAGAUUGAUUUAAUAUAGAAUAAAUAACAACGAGCGCGAAUAAAAAUAACUUUAAAACAUGAACAAGUCUUAUUGGAAAUAUUUCCUGAGGUGUGCUGCGUUCCAUGGGCGUUUCACCUCGUGGCCAUCCGUGCAAACAAGCUUGUAGGCUCCGGGUCCAGCUAUCUGCUUGACCCUAUACGACCCCUCCCAGUUUGGUCCAAGUACUCAUUGAGUCGAGUCUUUCGUGUUCUGAUUCACCCUCCUUAAUACCCAAUCUCCGACCUUGAACUACCGUACACUCACCUUCUGGUUGUAAUACCGGGCAAUUCUCUGCUGGUAGACAGCCGAUCGCAUCAAUGCUUGCUCCCUCUUCUCGGUUAUCAAAUCCAGAUUCAAGCACAUCUGGUCGUUGUUCUGCUGCUCAUCGAAGUGAUCUGUCUGGUGCGUGGUCGUCCCUAUCUCGACUGGUACAACCGCUUCAUGUCCGAAGGCUAAGGCAAACGGAGUUUCGUCAGUUCUGCUGUACCGUACAUCCGCCUUGGCCGUACAGCAGUAACUUUAAAAAAAUUUAGAUCCUUUUAAAUUGCAAACCCACAAAGAAAAAAAUAAAUGCCACCUUAAUGUUACCAAUUAUUAUUAAUAUAAUAUCAUUUUUCCAAUAAUAUUUAGAUACAAAGAGCUCAAUUGGAAUUACAUUUAGAAGGCUCAAUUUUUUUUUUAAAAAUCACUUUUGGCAAAUCACCCUAUCCUAUAACAUGUUUUGAAAAAGUAUAUGGGGAGGCCAUAGAAGUGAGCUUCUCUGGUGGUUGGGUAGAAAAAUUUGCAAAACUCUGGCAACUUACACAGUUCCUGGUCUUCUCCUGCGCAUCCUGGUGCAUUGUCGGCCAGAAAUAUCCCUGCCUUAGAACCUUGUGGGCCAGGGACCUCCCACCAGAAUGAUUUCCGCAAAUUCCUUCAUGUAUUUCUCUUAUAACGUAAUCUGCGUCGUCCUCAUCCAAACACCGAAGGAAAGAUAGUGUAUACCCUCGCCGAUACAGUACCCCGUCAAUCAUCAUGUAUCUCGAGGCCUGGGCUCUAAUCUUCUGAGCCCGCAGCUUAUUUGGUGGCAAUACCCCGUCUCUAAGGUAUGAAGUUAUCGGGUCCAUCCACGUGCAUUUUUGUUCUAUCUGCAAUACCCCCAGAUUCUGCUCGAUGCUCGGGCUGGACUUCACCUCUAGAGGGAUCGACUUUGGCAUUUUUGGGUCUGCUACCGCUGCCAUCCUGGCCAAAAUAUCUGCUCGACUAUUCUGCUCUCUAGGGAUUUAUAUCACCUCCACUGCUUCAAAUUUUCCCAUCAUCUGCCUGACUAUCUUCAAAUACUGUUCCAUCACAAACUCUUUCAUGUACUCCUCUCAGUACGUAAUCUGCGUCGUCCUCAUCUAAACACAGAAGGAAUGGUAGGGUAUAUCCCCGCCGACAUAAUACCCCAUCAAUCAUUGUGUACCUCGACGCUUGGGCUCUGGUCUUCCGAGCUCGUAACUUAUCUAGUGGCAAUACCACAUCCCUGAUGUACGAGAUUAUCGGGUCCAUCCACGAGCAUUUCUGUUCUAUCCACAACACCUCCAGAUUUUGCUCGAUGCUAAGGCUGGUCUUCACCUCCAAAGGGAUCGACUUAGGCAUUUUUGGGUCCGCUACAGCUGCCAUCCUGGCCAGAAUAUCUGCUCGACUAUUCUGCUCCCUUGGGAUUUGUAUCACCUCAGCCGCCUCAAACUUCCCAAUCAUCUGCUUGACUUUCUUCAAGUACUGCUCCAUCUUCCCAUCACUUGGUUGAAAUAUUUCACUGACAUGAUUUGCAACCAGUUGGGAAUCAGUUUGGAUUUUCACCAUAUCUGCUUUCACUGCUUUGGCCAAUUCCAAGCCUGCUAUUAGAGCUUCAUAUUCGGCCUGGUUUUUUGCGGCUGUGAACUCGAACUUUACAGCAUAUGAGAUUUCCUCCCCUUCUGGACCUUCCAUGACAAUCCCUGCUCCAGACCCCUGCUCCCUUGAGGAUCCAUCCACCGACAUCUGCUAUACCCGAUCUUCGUUGUUGACUCUAGCAACAUCUAACUGAUCGAAUCCUAUUUCGGGCUUGCGAAUUCUGCCACGAAGUCGGCCAUUGCCUGGGCCUUUAUCGCUGCUCGGGGUUUAAAACUUAUGUCGAACUCACUCAACUCUAUGGCCCAUUUCAUUAGCCGACUAAAAGCAUCCGGCUUGUGUAGAGUCUGCCGUAACGGUUGGUUUGUGAUUACCGAGAUGGGGAAUGCUUGAAAGCAUGGCCUCAGCUUCCGAGCAGCAACCACAAGAGCAAGCGCCCAUUUUUCUAACGGCGGAUAUCUGGUCUUAGCAUCUAGCAGGGCCUUGCUCGUGUAAUAUAUUGGAUAUUGUACCCCUUCUUCUUCUCUCACUAGAACAGAACUUGUGGCACAAUAUGAUACCACUAUAUAUAGGAACAUCACGUCCCCAUCCCGCGGCGUGGACAACAGUGGUGCUUGCUGCAAAUAUUGCUUCAAAUUAUAGAAGGCUUCUUCGCAUUCAUGGGUCCACUCUGUUUUCUUUCCUCUCCUUAUCACUUGAAAGAAUGUCUGGUAUUUGUCUGUCGCCUUGGAUAUGAAUCGACUCAAGGCCGCUAAUCUCCCCGUAAGGCUCUGUAUGUCCUUCAAGUUAUGAGGAGACCUCAUCUGCACGAUUGCCUGGAUCUUCUCGGGAUUUGCCUCGAUCCCCCGGUGACUCACCAUGAACCCAAGAAAUUUCCCUGACUCGACCCCAAAGGCACACUUCUCUAGGUUGAGCAUCAUCUUGUAUUUCCUCAAAAGUCCAAAUGUCUCCUCGAUGUGCUCGACAUGUUCCUUCAGGAUUUUUGAUUUGGUUAUCAUGUCGUCCACAUACACUUCUAUUGUU
rnacentral:lncRNA from 1 species